rnacentral:misc_RNA from 1 species
GAUGAAGACGCAGCGAAAUGCGAUAAGUAGUGUGAAUUGCAGAAUUCAGUGAAUCAUCGAAUCUUUGAACGCACAUUGCGCCCCUUGGUAUUCCAUGGGGCAUGCCUGUUCGAGCGUCAUUUGUACCUUCAAGCUUUGCUUGGUGUUGGGUGUUUGUCUCGCCUUUGCGUGUAGACUCGCCUUAAAAUAAUUGGCAGCCGGCGUAUUGAUUUCGGAGCGCAGUACAUCUCGCGCUUUGCACUCAUAACGACAGCGUCCAAAAGUACAUUUUACACUCUUGACCUCGGAUCAGGUAGGGAUACCCGCUGAACUUAAGCAUAUCAAUAAGCGGAGGA